rnacentral:lncRNA from 10 species
AGCUGUCAUUCACAUAGAGCUCCAGCUUUCAUAAAAAGCUUUUCUUCGUUGAAGAGCUCUGAUGUAUUGCCUUGUCUCGAAUGCAUAAUUGAUCAUUAUGAAAAGAAUACAGGUUGUUCCUGUUGUCUGUUCUUCCUUCUUCUCUAGUAACGGAAUUUUGAACUAGGUAAAUGGCUAUCUAGAGUCAAGACUACAUUUCCUAGCUUCUCUUGUUGCUAGGAGUGCACCUGCUUCUGGCCACUGGGGUUUGCAACUAUUUUAAACCAUGGAGUUGAGGUCCCCAAGACAGAGAAACAAGAUAGAAGGCACCUGCACCUUUGAUAUUUAAUGACAAGCGAUGAAGUACCAUGAUGAAAACAGCCCCAAACCCCUAACUACACUUUCAUGUUUCAUGUGACAGGGAAAUAAACUUCUGUUUUGUGUAA